AGCGAACGCUGGCGGCAGGCCUAACACAUGCAAGUCGAACGAACCCUUCGGGGUUAGUGGCGGACGGGUGAGUAACACGUGGGAACGUGCCUUUAGGUUCGGAAUAACUCAGGGAAACUUGUGCUAAUACCGAAUGUGCCCUUCGGGGGAAAGAUUUCUCGCCUUUAGAGCGGCCCGCGUCUGAGUAGCUAGUUGGUGAGGUAAUGGCUCACCAAGGCUACGAUCAGUAGCUGGUCUGAGAGGAUGACCAGCCACAUUGGGACUGAGACACGGCCCAGACUCCUACGGGAGGCAGCAGUGGGGAAUCUUGCGCAAUGGGCGAAAGCCUGACGCAGCCAUGCCGCGUGGAUGAUGAAGGUCUUAGGAUUGUAAAAUCCUUUCACCGGUGAAGAUAAUGACUGUAGCCGGAGAAGAAGCCCCGGCUAACUUCGUGCCAGCCGCCGCCGUAAUAC
rnacentral:rRNA from 1 species